CAAAAACAUUCUUAUUGAAUUAAUUUUAAGUCUAAUCUGCCCACUGAUGAUUUGAAGGGCCGCAGUAUUUUGACUGUGCAAAGGUAGCAUAAUAACUUGUUUCUUAAUUAGGGACUAGUAUGAAUGAUUGAAUGAAACUAGUACUGUCUCAUUAUAAAUGAUAAUAGAAUUUAAUUAUUAAGUUAAAAGGCUUAAAUAAAGUUAAAAGACGAGAAGACCCUAUAGAGUUUAACAAGUAUUUAUUAGUUUUAAUUGGUUGAGAAAAUAUUAUUAAUAAUAAUUUGUUUAAUUGGGGUGAUUAGAAAAUUUAUUUAACUUUUCUUUAUGAAAAUAUUUGUUAAUAGAUUUAUGAUCCUUUAUUAAGGAUAAAAAGAUUAAAUUACCUUAGGGAUAACAGCGUAAUUUGUUUGGAGAGUUCAUAUUUAAUAAACAAGUUUGCGACCUCGAUGUUGAAUUAAAAUAAAAUAUGAGUGCAGCAGCUCAAUAUUUAAGUCUGUUCGACUUUUAAAAUUUUACAUGAUCUGAGUUCAAACCGG
rnacentral:rRNA from 1 species